rnacentral:rRNA from 1 species
GACGAACGCUGGCGGCGUGCUUAACACAUGCAAGUCGAACGGAAAGGCCCUGCUUUGGUGGGGUGCUCGAGUGGCGAACGGGUGAGUAACACGUGAGUAACCUGCCCUUGACUUUGGGAUAACUUCAGGAAACUGGGGCUAAUACCGGAUAGGAGCUCCUGCUGCAUGGUGGGGGUUGGAAAGUUUCGGCGGUUGGGGAUGGACUCGCGGCUUAUCAGCUUGUUGGUGGGGUAGUGGCUUACCAAGGCUUUGACGGGUAGCCGGCCUGAGAGGGUGACCGGCCACAUUGGGGCUGAGAUACGGCCCAGACUCCUACGGGAGGCAGCAGUGGGGAAUAUUGCACAAUGGGCGGAAGCCUGAUGCAGCAACGCCGCGUGCGGGAUGACGGCCUUCGGGUUGUAAACCGCUUUCGCCUGUGACGAAGCGUGAGUGACGGUAAUGGGUAAAGAAGCACCGGCUAACUACGUG